GGUUUGCCUGAGUUCCUACAAAUUUAAGGCCCUAUUUUCAAGCGCGUAGCAAACGAGGGAUGAAUAGAAGCAUCUCAUUAUUGCCUAUUUUUGGAUCAACCUCCGAAUUCCCCCGGGACUUCAGCAUCAAACUCUGUAGCACCCGGUGUUCACAAAGAUGCAAAUCCAAGACUCUGUUUUUUUGGUUUUGUUUUAAAUCAGUACUUUUUCCCUGGAGAAAAACAGUCGUCUUUAUCCUGUCUCCCUGAGUUGCGAUGCAUAGCUCCAGAGUGGCUGACGGGAAUAUGGCUGAUUUACCAGAAAGCUGGCAGCCUCUGACCGUUGUCUUAGGAGGGUAUCACGAAAACGAAGGCAAACUGCGAGAAGGUUUCUGCUCUUCACUGGAAUAUUUCAAGUAUCUAUAAACUGGAGAAGGUGGAAAACUGAUGUUCCCUUCCUGUUGCGUCUCUUUUUCUUCCCUGAGUGCAGAAGGAGCUCAUCAAUAUUGACUUGCUCUAGUCUGCUACGUGGUCUUUUUAGAUUAUAACCCUGCUUUUUUCCCCAUUACCAGUAAAAUGGUGUGUUGGAAUUUGUGUACUUCACGCAUAUCUCUUCAGUCUUCAUGCAGCACUCACCUAACUACAGCCUUGCUGCUAGUGGCAUUCAAGUCUUUGUAUAUUGUGUUGGCUUUUGGGGAACACUUGGUCUUCCAUUCCAAGUGGUGGAUUACAGCAGAUAAUUGACAAAGUUCCAUUUGUUUUUAAUUCAAAGGGUGUCUCUUCCUUUCAAUGUUAAUUUUCACGCUGAAGAAGGAGGUAACCAAUAUUGUAGGUAUUGCUAUGCAGGAAUAGAACUGGGGGAAAAAAAACGAAACAUUUCCUUGGUGCAUCUCUGGCUGCCACUUAUUCUAAAACAGGUCUGUAAAAGAUAAUGUUAUACAUUAUUUGAAGUGACUGCAGUGAGGUUUUUAGUGUAAAGUUUUUGUUUGUCCCCGUUGCAUAGAAGCCAGCCGGUUUGCUAGUUUGAGUGACCUCACAUUCCUUAAACGUACUCAUAAAUCAAACCAAGGCCAUAUAUUAAAAGCUAAACUCUGACAUUAAUUCAAAGGAGGGAAAGUUUUAUACACUGUGGGAUAAGUACAUAGCUGGACACCUAGGGCAAAGUUUUCUCAGUUCUUACUUAUAUUUAGCAAAACUAUGUUCUUCUAAGAGUCUCAUAGAAUGCCUGGAAGUCAGCUGGACCCUAUGUUACUUGAGGUGAAUAUAGUUUGGAAAGGCAUGCCCUGAAGAACUAAUAACUACUUUGAUUAGUGCGAACAUGCAGAUUAAAAGAAAAAAAUAUUACUUAAAAUUAUUCUUGUGAUAGUCUCUAAUAAAGGCAGUUUGGCAAC
rnacentral:lncRNA from 7 species